rnacentral:rRNA from 1 species
UACAGAGGGGGCAAGCGUUGUCCGGAGUUACUGGGCGUAAAGAGCUCGUAGGCGGCUUGUCGCGUCGGAUGUGAAAGCCCGGGGCUUAACUCCGGGUCUGCAUUCGAUACGGGCAGGCUAGAGUUCGGUAGGGGAGAUCGGAAUUCCUGGUGUAGCGGUGAAAUGCGCAGAUAUCAGGAGGAACACCGGUGGCGAAGGCGGAUCUCUGGGCCGAUACUGACGCUGAGGAGCGAAAGCGUGGGGAGCAAACAGG